AGAGAGAGAGAGAGAGAGAGAGAGAUAAAGCUUCUGACAUACACCUGGGACUAAAGGGUAUUCUGUAGUUCACAUCUUUGGUGCCUCAUGGUGACAUUUAUUUCUUUGGCCUAAGAAGCCUUCUGCCUUAACAACCUCUCAGAGUAACAGUGCUGCUUUGCCACUGUUACUUCCCUGCUGGAGUAUCUAUCUGGCAACUGCCUGAACAGAUCCUGGGAAGAAGAAAGUUAUUUUUGUCCAGUGUUCCACACCCCAAAGGAAGGGUGACAAAUCAGAGUGAGAGGAGGGUGGGGUGCCAAAAGGAAAUGAUAUUAUAUCCUAAAGCCAAGAAAUGUGUCCAAGUUCACAUUUUUACCCCUUUACGGUAAGAGUUUAGAGCUUUGAAAGUAAAACUUCAAAAUGCAAAGACUGAAGAAUAACCAUUCCUUAUUUCAUGAACAUGCUACCCUUUGGUGAAAUCCCAUGACAGAAUGAAGAAACAUCUUUAUGAAUGAGACUUGCUGUAGGCACUGCCUCCUGUGGGCACUGACAGCCCUCUUCUCCCUGCACUGGCCAGGCUUGGGGAAUCUUGCCCCAACAGGAUUCACAGGAGAGAGGGGAUUCUGACCCCCAGACAGGUCCCAGAAUUUACCUAAGGUGGCUCACAAGGUUUUCCUAAGAAAUCAUUAGCAGAAGUUUGUCUCAUGAACCAUAGGACUAAUGAUUCCAAAGGACACUUCAUUCUACGUUAGAAAACUGCCCUAGUCAAAUGUUACUUUAUUAUUUAAAAAGUCUAUGGACCUAGAGACAGCAGAUUAGGGGUUGCCAGGGCCUGGGGAGGAGGGCGGAAGGGGUAUGAGUUUUCGUUUGGGGUGUUAAAAGUUCUGGGACUAGAGAGUGGUGAUGGUUGCACAGCAUGCGAAAGUGGUGAUGGAUGCAAUACCACUGAAUUGUACACUUUAAGUGGUUAAAAUGAUGGAUUGUAUUUACCACAUCUACCACAAUGAAAAGUCCACAGACUAUGUAAGAAUUAGUAAUAGCCAUUAACUGAAUACUUUUUAUGCUCUAAGUGCUUUUUGUUGGUAGUCUUGGUUGAUGCUCAGUUUUGAGGUAGCACUGUUCUUUUACACCCCUGCCAGGGAAACUGAGGCAGAGAAGUUGGCAGCUUCAUGUAGAGCUGGUGAUUGAAUCCAGGCAGCCUAAAGGCAGAACUCGUAGCCACUUUCUCAUGUUGCCACUUAGAGAUGUAUCAGAGAUGUUUAUUAUCUACUAAGUAUUUCAAACUGUGAAUUGUGACCUAAUAGUUGUGUCACCAGCAUUAAAAAAAAAGGCGGGGGGUGGAUUAGAAUGGAGAAGAUCCGUCUAUCACAUGUAGUAAGGGUAGAUGUUUUGAGGAACUUUUGUGUAGAUUUUAUAGGUCUGACUUUUUCUGGUGUGUACUGGCCCCGGAUGUAAAAUGUAUUUCUUAUUGUGGAUUGUGAUCAAAAGUUUGAAAGACACUAGAGGGUCACACUUAAGGAUUUAUUAUCAAUUUCUUAGAGGUACAUAGUUAAAAAGAAGAUGGAGAGGAGAUGAGGAUGAGGAUGAUGCUGCGCUUAAAGAGAUAAACCUGAAAUGGUGGUGGUCGAAGACUUGCACCACCCUGGGUGGGAGAGAGAAGGAAGGAUACUUAAGUCUGUAGAAAAUAUAGAAGAGAGUAACAGAGAACACAAUCCUGCCCAAUCCCUAAUUUUAAUUUCUUUAGGAGAGAGCGUAUGCCAAAUGACACACAGAUGGUUUUGGAUAGAAACAAAGUUCUUUUCUAUGAUUAUAAACCAGAUACUUUAUAUCUUAGUAUAUUAAUUCUGAUUAAUAGUGUUGAUGUAAGUGUUGUAAAAUAUAAAAUAAGUUGUUACAUUACAUCCUCAAAAUUACUAUUUUUUUCAGUUCCUCCUGAGUGGAUUGAUGCUAACUUCUCGUGUUCUGGGCAAUUUGUCAUUUCUCUCUGCACUGCAGCUUUUCUUCAAAGCUAGUGAAGACAAUAAAUAGACUCCAGCACCUACUUGAACAUCCUGCCUCUGGGAAUUUAUCUUGUGUAGAUACUUGCAUACAUGAAAUGAUCUAUGCUCAAGUGAGGAAGAACUGUGGGAUUUGAUUAAUUGGAAAGUGUGUUAAGAAUGUAGGACACUUUGGAGCCCUGAGCCACCAGGUAAAAAGUCCAGUUACUCUGAGGGUGCCAUACUGUGAGGAAGCUCUACCACACGGAGAGGCCACAUGUGUGUGUCCUGCCUACUUGCUGUAGCUGAGGUUCCACCCAACAGUUAGCAUCAAGCACUAGACAUGAGAGUAAAGGUUCCUCAAAGUGAUCCCAGCCCACAGCUGACUGGUCACCCCAGUGAGGCCCCAAACAUUGUGGAGUACAGACCAGGCAUAUCCUCCAUGCCCUGUCUGAAUUCCUGAUGUACAGAAUCCAAGGACAUAAUAAAAUAGUUGUAUACCACUACAUUCUGGGGUGUUUUGUUAUGCACCAAAAGCACCUAGGCAGAUUUUGAAAUAAGGUGGUUGGAAUUUGCCUGUGUGCAGAGGAAAAGGGGUGACUUAAACAGGCCAAGAGAGGGCAUGAUGGUUUAAGGCUAGAGAUUUAAAUUUGUGAAUUAUCAGAAGAAAGCUGACAGUGAGGUUAGGAGAGUGCCUGAGCUCCUUAAACAAGUGGGAGGAGAUAGGUGGCCUAAACUUCAGGAGUUGUCUGCAUUCAGGUGGGAAGAAGAGAGAGAAGUGGCAGAGAUAGUCCUAACAGGAGGUAUUAGACUCAGGAGAUUCAAGAGUGUAGGCACUGGGAAAAUGGUUUUCCCAAUUAUAGGAGCAAGGAACAAAAGGAAGAGGUCAUGAGACAUAGACUUGAGCCAGAAAGCCUGGCUUCAGAUCCUGUUACUUACCAGCUAUGUCUCAAUUGCCUCAUCUGUAAAAUUGGGCUGUUAAUAGUACUCAUCCAGUGCAGCUGGUGUGGCUCAGUGGUUGGGCGUUGACCUAUGAACCAGGAGAUCACAGUUUGAUUCCCAGUCAGGGCAGGUGCCCAGA